AAAGAACGUAGCUUUGUACUACUGUUUAUAUGCAACGUCCGAUUGUUCGUUUUAUUUGAAAAAGAAUUAUCAUUUAUAUUUUAAUUAUUAUUAGAUGAUAAAAUAUAAAUAAUAUUUUAUGUGUAACUAAUUUUUAAAUUUUUAAAAUAAUAUGAACGGUUAAACGUUACACAGAGAAACUCACGGCUGUACUUAUG
rnacentral:pre_miRNA from 1 species